CCUUGGAAAAUGGAGCCGAAGAAGGACGUGAUUACCUGCGAAAAGUCUGGGGGAGCUGGAAGUAAGCUGCGAUCCCGGAAUGUCCGAAUGGGGAAACCUAACAUGAUUUAUCUCAUGUUAUCUAUAAGUGAAUACAUAGCUUAUAAGAAGGGAACCUAGGGAACUGAAACAUCUUAGUACCUAGAGGAAAAGAAAAUAAUAAUGAUUCUGUUAGUAGUGGCGAGCGAACACGGAACAGGCCAAACCGUUCUACGGGGCGGGGUUGUAGGACUUUUGUUAGAGUUACAAAGUUAUUGUAUAGUAGAAGCUAUUGGGAAGUAGCGGCAUAGAGGGUGAUACCCCCGUAUACGAAAUGCAAUAACCUCGAGAAAGUAUCCUGAGUACGGCGAAACACGUGAAAUUUUGUCGGAAUCUGCCAAGACCACUUGGUAAGCCUAAAUACUACCAUUUUACCGAUAGUGAACCAGUACCGUGAGGGAAAGGUGAAAAGCACCCCGAGAGGGGAGUGAAAGAGAUCCUGAAACCAUAUGCUUACAAGAAGGUAGAGCCCGUUAAUGGGUGAUACCGUGCUUUUUGUAGAAAGAGCCGGCGAGUUACUAUUGCAUGCGAGGUUAAGUCGAUAUAGAUGGAGCCGUAGUGAAAGCGAGCCUUAAUAGGGCGUUUAGUAUGCAGUAGUAGACACGAAACCGGGUGAUCUAGCCAUGAGCAGGUUGAAGUUAGGGUAAAACCUAAUGGAGGACCGAACCAGUAUUCGUUGAAAAGACUUUGGAUGACUUGUGGCUAGCGGUGAAAUUCCAAUCGAACCCGGAGAUAGCUAGUUCUCCCCGAUAUAUCUUUAAGGAUAGCGUUAUGUGAAUUGUUGUGGAGGUAGAGCACUGAAUCUAUGAUGGCUGCACCUAGCGGUACUGAUUAGAAUUAAACUCCGAAUGCCAUAACUUGUGCAUAGCAGUCAGAACAUGGGUGAUAAGGUCCAUGCUCGUGAGGGAAACAGCCCAGAUCGUCAGCUAAGGUCCCUAAGUGUAAACUAAGUGUGUAAGGAUGUGGAACUGCACAGACAGCUAGGAUGUUGGCUUAGAAGCAGCCAUCAUUUAAAGAGUGCGUAACAGCUCACUAGUCGAGUGAUUCUGCGCCGAAAAUGUACCGGGGCUUAAGUUUACCACCGAAGCUACGGAUUGUACGCAAGUACAGUGGUAGGGGAGCGUUCCAAGGGUGAUGAAGUCAGACCGUAAGGACUGGUGGAGCGCUUGGAAGUGAUUAUGCCGGCAUGAGUAACGUUUGGAAGUGAGAAUCUUCCAUGCCGUUUGACCAAGGUUUCCUGGGCAAGGUUCGUCCACCCAGGGUUAGUCAGGACCUAAGACGAGGCCGACAGGCGUAGUCGAUGGACAACAGGUUGAUAUUCCUGUACCAGUUAAUUAGUGAUGGAGUGACGGAGAAGGAUAGUAUAUCCCGGGUGCUGGUUGUCCCGGGCUAAGCACAAAGACGGCAACAUUGGCAAAUCCGUGUUGUAUUAACGUUGAAGUGUGAUGGGGAGUGAACGGUUCGCCUAGUAACGAAGUAUAUGACUCCACGCUUCCAAGAAAAGCUUCUAACAUUAAUAAUUAACUGCCUGUACCUAGAACGAACACACGUGGUCAAGGAGAAAAUCCUAAGGCAAGCGAGAUAACUGUAGCUAAGGAACUCUGCAAAAUAACUCCGUAACUUCGGAAGAAGGAGUGCUCAUCUUUGAUGAGCCGCAGUGAAGAGGGAGGGGCAACUGUUUAACAAAAACACAGCUCUCUGCUAAGUCGCAAGACGAUGUAUAGGGGGUGACACCUGCCCAGUGCCGGAAGGUUAAGAGGAGAAGUCAGCGCAAGCGAAGCUUUGAAUUGAAGCCCCGGUGAACGGCGGCCGUAACAAUAACGGUCCUAAGGUAGCGAAAUUCCUUGUCAGGUAAAUUCUGACCCGCACGAAAGGUGUAAUGAUCCCUUCGCUGUCUCGGCUGCAGACUCGGUGAAAUUUUAGUACCGGUGAAGAUG
rnacentral:rRNA from 1 species